rnacentral:rRNA from 1 species
AUUGAACGCUGGCGGCAGGCCUAACACCUGCAAGUCGAGCGGUAGAGAGAAGCUUGCUUCUCUUGAGAGCGGCGGACGGGUGAGUAAUGCCUAGGAAUCUGCCUGGUAGUGGGGGAUAACGUUCGGAAACGGACGCUAAUACCGCAUACGUCCUACGGGAGAAAGCAGGGGACCUUCGGGCCUUGCGCUAUCAGAUGAGCCUAGGUCGGAUUAGCUAGUUGGUGAGGUAAUGGCUCACCAAGGCGACGAUCCGUAACUGGUCUGAGAGGAUGAUCAGUCGCACUGGAACUGAGACACGGUCCAGACUCCUACGGGAGGCAGCAGUGGGGAAUAUUGGACAAUGGGCGAAAGCCUGAUCCAGCCAUGCCGCGUGUGUGAAGAAGGUCUUCGGAUUGUAAAGCACUUUAAGUUGGGAGGAAGGGUUGUAGAUUAAUACUCUGCAAUUUUGACGUUACCGACAGAAUAAGCACCGGCUAACUCUGUGCCAGCCGCCGCGGUAA